UAGUUAUUCUAUAUAACCUGUUUGUGCUAAAGCUGUGGCCUGCACGCUAGGUGGAACUAUACCCCGUGCAUCCAGCGCUGCAAUAAAGAAUGCCUGCUUUCUAAAACUCCAAAA